UACGUAGGGGGCAAGCGUUGUCCGGAUUCAUUGGGCGUAAAGCGCGUGUAGGCGGCGCGGAUAGUCGGCGGUGAAAGCCCGGAGCUCAACUCCGGGUCGGCCGUCGAUACUUCCGGGCUUGAGCACUGUAGAGGCAGAUGGAAUUCCGGGUGUAGCGGUGGAAUGCGUAGAGAUCCGGAAGAACACCGGUGGCGAAGGCGGUCUGCUGGGCAGUUGCUGACGCUGAGGCGCGACAGCGUGGGGAGCGAACAGG
rnacentral:rRNA from 1 species